rnacentral:rRNA from 1 species
GGCUCAGGACGAACGCUGGCGGCGUGCUUAACACAUGCAAGUCGAGCGAAGCGCUUAAGUUUGAUUCUUCGGAUGAAGACUUUUGUGACUGAGCGGCGGACGGGUGAGUAACGCGUGGGUAACCUGCCUCAUACAGGGGGAUAACAGUUAGAAAUGGCUGCUAAUACCGCAUAAGACCACAGUACUGCAUGGUACAGUGGUAAAAACUCCGGUGGUAUGAGAUGGACCCGCGUCUGAUUAGGUAGUUGGUGAGGUAACGGCCCACCAAGCCGACGAUCAGUAGCCGACCUGAGAGGGUGACCGGCCACAUUGGGACUGAGACACGGCCCAGACUCCUACGGGAGGCAGCAGUAGG